CCUACGGGAGGCAGCAGUGAGGAAUAUUGGUCAAUGGGCGCGAGCCUGAACCAGCCAAGUCGCGUGAGGGAAGACGGUCCUAUGGAUUGUCAACCUCUUUUGUCGGGGAGCAAAAGACGCCACGCGUGGCGUUCCGAGAGUACCCGAAGAAAAAGCAUCGGCUAACUCCGUGUCAGCAGCCGCGGUAAUACGGAGGAUGCGAGCGUUAUCCGGAUUUAUUGGGUUUAAAGGGUGCGCAGGCGGAAGAUCAAGUCAGCGGUAAAAUUGAGAGGCUCAACCUCUUCGAGCCGUUGAAACUGGUUUUCUUGAGUGAGUGAGAAGUAUGCGGAAUGCGUGGUGUAGCGGUGAAAUGCAUAGAUAUCACGCAGAACUCCGAUUGCGAAGGCAGCAUACCGGCGCUCAACUGACGCUCAUACACGAAAGUGUGGGUAUCGAACAGGAUUAGAUACCCGAGUAGUC
rnacentral:rRNA from 1 species